rnacentral:rRNA from 1 species
UACGGAGGGUGCAAGCGUUAUCCGGAUUCACUGGGUUUAAAGGGUGCGUAGGAGGGCAGGUAAGUCAGUGGUGAAAUCCCCGAGCUUAACUUGGGAACUGCCGUUGAUACUAUCUGUCUUGAAUACCGUGGAGGUGAGCGGAAUGUGUCAUGUAGCGGUGAAAUGCUUAGAUAUGACAUAGAACACCAAUUGCGAAGGCAGCUCGCUACACGAAUAUUGACUCUGAGGCACGAAAGCGUGGGGAUCAAACAGG